rnacentral:rRNA from 1 species
CAGUCGCCACGGUAAUACGAAGGGUGCAAGCGUUAAUCGGAAUUACUGGGCGUAAAGCGUGCGUAGGCGGUGAGUUAAGUCUGCUGUGAAAUCCCCGGGCUCAACCUGGGAAUGGCAGUGGAUACUGGCUCGCUAGAGUGUGUCAGAGGAUGGUGGAAUUCCCGGUGUAGCGGUGAAAUGCGUAGAGAUCGGGAGGAACAUCAGUGGCGAAGGUGGCCAUCUGGGACAACACUGACGCUGAGGCACGAAAGCGUGGGGAGCAAACAGGAUUAGAUACCCCGGUAGUCCCUGUCUCUUAUAC